GAUGAAGAACGUAGCGAAAUGCGAUAAGUAGUGUGAAUUGCAGAAUUCAGUGAAUCAUCGAAUCUUUGAACGCACAUUGCGCCCCUUGGUAUUCCAUGGGGCAUGCCUGUUCGAGCGUCAUUUGUACCUUCAAGCUCUGCUUGGUGUUGGGUGUUUGUCUCGCCUCUGCGUGUAGACUCGCCUCAAAACAAUUGGCAGCCGGCGUAUUGAUUUCGGAGCGCAGUACAUCUCGCGCUUUGCACUCAUAACGACAGCGUCCAAAAGUACAUUUUACACUCUUGACCUCGGAUCAGGUAGGGAUACCCGCUGAACUUAAGCAUAUCAAUAAGCAGGA
rnacentral:misc_RNA from 1 species